GACGAACGCUGGCGGCGUGCUUAACACAUGCAAGUCGAACGAAGAGCGAUGGAAGCUUGCUUCUAUCAAUCUUAGUGGCGAACGGGUGAGUAACGCGUAAUCAACCUGCCCUUCAGAGGGGGACAACAGUUGGAAACGACUGCUAAUACCGCAUACGAUCUAAUCUCGGCAUCGAGGAAAGAUGAAAGGUGGCCUCUAUUUAUAAGCUAUCACUGAAGGAGGGGAUUGCGUCUGAUUAGCUAGUUGGAGGGGUAACGGCCCACCAAGGCGAUGAUCAGUAGCCGGUCUGAGAGGAUGAACGGCCACAUUGGGACUGAGACACGGCCCAGACUCCUACGGGAGGCAGCAGUGGGGAAUCUUCCGCGAUGGACGAAAGUCUGACGGAGCAACGCCGCGUGAGUGAUGACGGCCUUCGGGUUGUAAAGCUCUGUUAAUCGGGACGAAAGGCCUUCUUGCGAACAGUU
rnacentral:rRNA from 1 species